ACGCUGGCGGCGUGCCUAACACAUGCAAGUCGAGCGGGGACAUGCGACGGAACCGGAAGUUUUCGGGAUGGAAGGCGAAGAUGUAUGUUCUAGCGGCGGACGGGUGAGUAACGCGUGAGCAACCUGUCCUUCACAGGGGGAUAACACAGCGAAAGUUGUACUAAUACCGCAUAAGACCACACCGGGACAUCCCGGAGGGGUCAAAGGAGCAAUCCGGUGAAGGGUGGGCUCGCGUCCGAUUAGAUAGUUGGUGAGGUAACGGCCCACCAAGUCGACGAUCGGUAGCCGACCUGAGAGGGUGAUCGGCCACAUUGGGACUGAGACACGGCCCAAACUCCUACGGGAGGCAGCAGUGGGGAAUAUUGGGCAAUGGGGAAACCCUGACCCAGCAACGCCGCGUGAGGGAAGAAGGUUUUCGGAUUGUAAACCUCUGUCUUUGGUGACGAACAAAUGACGGUAGCCAAGGAGGAAGCCACGGCUAACUACGUGCC
rnacentral:rRNA from 1 species